AGAAUCAACGCUGGCGGCGUGCCUAACACAUGCAAGUCGCACGAGAAAGGGGAGCAAUCCCUGAGUACAGUGGCGCACGGGUGAGUAACACGUGAAUAAUCUACCUCCGAGUGGGGAAUAACUGAGAGAAAUCUUAGCUAAUACCGCAUAACACUUACGAGUCAAAGCAGCAAUGCGCUUGGAGAGGAGUUCGCGGCCGAUUAGUUAGUUGGCGGGAUAAUGGCCCACCAAGACGAUGAUCGGUA
rnacentral:rRNA from 1 species